GAGCCGCAUCCCAGAAUUGGAGCAGCCCCCAGGAGCACAUGGCUGCAGUUGGGGACUUCACCAGGCCGAGGCAGAGCCCAGCGGACAGAGCGCGGGAUUAAAUGCCCCAGACUCUCGCUCCCACCACCGUUGGCCUCGGGCCACUGCCUCUUAUUGGCUAACAAGGAGCCCAGGUGGAGCGAUCAGCAGGGGUCGGUAGUGGGGUCAGGGUGGGGCAGAGAAGGACCGGCAGGGGUGGAGCAUGGAUGGGGGGGAGAAGCUGGGUGGGGGAGUAGCCUGGAGCCCCCAGCAUCAGCCCUGAGCUGCCCUUGCUGCUGCUUGGGUCUGGCCCAGCCACCUGUCCUACAUCAAGACCUUCGACGUGGGCACACGCUACAUGGUGAACCGAGUGCAGGACCACGUCCAGAGCCGCACAGUCUACUACCUCAUGAACAUCCACGUCACACCCCGCUCCAUCUACCUGUGCCGGCAUGGAGAGAGCGAGCUCAACCUCAGGGGCCGCAUCGGAGGAGACUCUGGCCUCUCAGCUCGGGGCAAGCAGGUAGGGAGAGCCCCGUGCACCCCCACGCGUGGCUGAGCUGGCCCAGGUGUGGUUGGGGCGGAGCUGGACAGGCAGGGUGGUGCUGCCUGGGUCCUGAGGAGGGGCCCACACUAGAGCUGGGCCAGGAGCAGGUUCUGCCCACGCCUGCCUUCCUCCCCAUCAGCCACUCAGUGUGGACGCAUCCUUGGUGGCUCCCAGGUGCCAGCGGCUUCUGCGGGUCUCCUAGCUGGAGCCCGGCCCUCCAGGCCCGCCCCAGUCUGCCUGCUCCAUCACAUGACCCCCCUUCACCCCUGCCUGGCAGGUCCCCUCAUCCCUCUCACCACACUGUGCCUUCGCUUGCUGCCUGCGGUCCCCUCUGGUCGCUGGUCACCACUCUGGCAGACAGCUGCCUGGAGGGCCCCACGCUGAAUCCCUUCUCUGCGACUUGGGGCUGCUGCCACCCUCCCCACCGCAGGGGUCACGCGGUCAGCAGCUGA
rnacentral:lncRNA from 1 species